CGUAAGACAUCGGAUUGUGCUUGUCUUGGGUAAACGUGCCUCCGAGUGCAGUCUGGGAUACCAAAACACUGUCGCCAUUUUCAGAGGUUGGAGUCAAGGACAAACACUAAAAACGAAAUGUCGAGAAGAUUUUUCGCAACAACCUCAGACUUUUUCAAGAGAGGGAUGGCUUUUUCAGUAUUUGUUCUCUCCCCAGUCACCUCUUACUGGUAUUACCAUUGGGGUGUAAAACCUUUCUAUGAUGAAGUGAGCCAAUUCAGGGGCAUCCCUCAAACAGUACUAGAGGCUCGAAUUGCUACAAUGGGAGGCUACAAGACUAUUCUGCCUGAUGGAACAGUUAAUCCAGCGAUAGUAGAAAAACGUGAAUAUUUUGGAAACGAGGAAGAUGAGGAUGAGGACGAAGAUGAAGAUGAAGAUUGAUAAAAGAAGAUGGCCUAGAAGUUACAAAUUUACCCAACAGACUUGAUGUAGCCAGUGUUUUUUGUUUUGUUUUUAAUACUUGUAAAUUCACUUAACAGGUGAAAAGUCACAGCACUAUUUAAACAUAAAAUUGGAUUCACUACAUGUUGCAGAUCAAACCAAAUGGCAGAAGCUACUCACUAGCUGACAAGAAAGAAUUGGAAUUUGUUUGGUGACAUAGAUAUGUUCCGAAGUGAUUCACAAUGUUUUUGCAUUGGGAGGUCUACCUAACACGUGUUAAGUAAAAAAUGUAAUAAAAAUAACAUGUUGAACAAA